rnacentral:rRNA from 1 species
GAUGAACGCUAGCGGNAGGCUUAAUACAUGCAAGUCGAGGGGCAGCACAGGUAGCAAUACUGGGUGGCGACCGGCAAACGGGUGCGUAACACGUACACAACUUUCCGUUAAGUGGGGCAUAGCCCGGGGAAACCCGGAUUAAUACCCCGUAAUAUAUAGAAAAGGCAUCUUUUUUAUAUUAUAGGCUUCGGCCGCUUGAUGAUGGGUGUGCGGCUGAUUAGGUAGUUGGCGGGGUAAUGGCCCACCAAGCCUUCGAUCAGUAGCUGAUGUGAGAGCAUGAUCAGCCACACGGGCACUGAGACACGGGCCCGACUCCUACGGGAGGCAGCAGUAAGGAAUAUUGGUCAAUGGGCGAAAGCCUGAACCAGCCAUGCCGCGUGGAGGAUGAAGGUCCUCUGGAUUGUAAACUUCUUUUAUUUGGGACGAAAAAAGGGAAUUCUUUCUCACUUGACGGUACCAGAUGAAUAAGCACCGGCUAACUCCGUGCCAGCAGCCGCGGUAAUACGGAGGGUGCAAGCGUUAUCCGGAUUCACUGGGUUUAAAGGGUGCGUAGGCGGGCAGGUAAGUCAGUGGUGAAAUCUUUGGGCUUAACCCGAAAACUGCCAUUGAUACUAUCUGUCUUGAAUAUUGUGGAGGUGAGCGGAAUAUGUCAUGUAGCGGUGAAAUGCUUAGAGAUGACAUAGAACACCCAUUGCGAAGGCAGCUCACUACGCAUAUAUUGACGCUGAGGCACGAAAGCGUGGGGAUCAAACAGGAUUAGAUACCCUGGUAGUCCACGCCCUAAACGAUGGAUACUCGACAUACGCGAUACACUGUGUGUGUCUGAGCGAAAGCAUUAAGUAUCCCACCUGGGAAGUACGACCGCAAGGUUG